rnacentral:rRNA from 1 species
GAUGAACGCUGGCGGCGUGCCUAAUACAUGCAAGUCGAGCGAACGGACGAGAAGCUUGCUUCUCUGAUGUUAGCGGCGGACGGGUGAGUAACACGUGGAUAACCUACCUAUAAGACUGGGAUAACUUCGGGAAACCGGAGCUAAUACCGGAUAAUAUUUUGAACCGCAUGGUUCAAAAGUAAAAGACGGUCUUGCUGUCACUUAUAGAUGGAUCCGCGCUGCAUUAGCUAGUUGGUAAGGUAACGGCUUACCAAGGCAACGAUGCAUAGCCGACCUGAGAGGGUGAUCGGCCACACUGGAACUGAGACACGGUCCAGACUCCUACGGGAGGCAGCAGUAGGGAAUCUUCCGCAAUGGGCGAAAGCCUGACGGAGCAACGCCGCGUGAGUGAUGAAGGUCUUCGGAUCGUAAAACUCUGUUAUUAGGGUAGAACAUAUGUGUAAGUAACUGUGCACAUCUUGACGGUACCUAAUCAGAAAGCCACGGCUAACUACGUG